rnacentral:misc_RNA from 1 species
AACCUUAUGGACCUGCGGGCGUAUACCUGCGGAAGGAUCAUUACAGAGUGUGACCCCCCUCUUAAGAAUGGGGGGUACCUCCCGUCCUUUGUUGGGUCCCUAAUUUUUAGGGGCUUUAAAGAACUUUUCUGCUUCGGCGGGGUAACCCGCCGGAACACCCUCAAAAUUCUUUGAUUUUUAAACAGUUCAGUCCGAGUACUUGAAAAUAAAUUCAAAACUUUCAGCAACGGAUCUCAGAUC